rnacentral:rRNA from 1 species
AUUGAACGCUGGCGGCAGGCCUAACACAUGCAAGUCGAGCGGAUGAAGGGAGCUUGCUCCUGGAUUCAGCGGCGGACGGGUGAGUAAUGCCUAGGAAUCUGCCUGGUAGUGGGGGAUAACGUCCGGAAACGGGCGCUAAUACCGCAUACGUCCUGAGGGAGAAAGUGGGGGAUCUUCGGACCUCACGCUAUCAGAUGAGCCUAGGUCGGAUUAGCUAGUUGGUGGGGUAAAGGCCUACCAAGGCGACGAUCCGUAACUGGUCUGAGAGGAUGAUCAGUCACACUGGAACGGAGACACGGUCCAGACUCCUACGGGAGGCCGCAGUGGGGAAUAUUGGACAAUGGGCGAAAGCCUGAUCCAGCCAUGCCGCGUGUGUGAAGAAGGUCUUCGGAUUGUAAAGCACUUUAAGUUGGGAGGAAGGGCAGUAAGUUAAUACCUUGCUGUUUUGACGUUACCAACAGAAUAAGCACCGGCUAACUUCGUG